rnacentral:rRNA from 1 species
UUGAACGCUGGCGGCAUGCCUUACACCUUCCAGUCGCACGGCAGCACGGGUGCUUGCACCUGGUGGCGAGUGGCGAACGGGUGAGUAAUACAUCGGAACAUGUCCUGUAGUGGGGGAUAGCCCGGCGAAAGCCGGAUUAAUACCGCAUACGAUCUACGGAUGAAAGCGGGGGACCUUCGGGCCUCGCGCUAUAGGGUUGGCCGAUGGCUGAUUAGCUAGUUGGUGGGGUAAAGGCCUACCAAGGCGACGAUCAGUAGCUGGUCUGAGAGGACGACCAGCCACACUGGGACUGAGACACGGCCCAGACUCCUACGGGAGGCAGCAGUGGGGAAUUUUGGACAAUGGGCGAAAGCCUGAUCCAGCAAUGCCGCGUGUGUGAAGAAGGCCUUCGGGUUGUAAAGCACUUUUGUCCGGAAAGAAAUCCUUGGCCCUAAUACGGUCGGGGGAUGACGGUACCGGAAGAAUAAGCACCGGCUAACUACGUG